UGGGGAAUUUUGGACAAUGGGCGAAAGCCUGAUCCAGCAAUGCCGCGUGUGUGAAGAAGGCCUUCGGGUUGUAAAGCACUUUUGUCCGGAAAGAAAUCCUUGGCUCUAAUACAGUCGGGGGAUGACGGUACCGGAAGAAUAAGCACCGGCUAACUACGUGCCAGCAGCCGCGGUAAUACGUAGGGUGCAAGCGUUAAUCGGAAUUACUGGGCGUAAAGCGUGCGCAGGCGGUUUGCUAAGACCGAAUGUGAAAUCCCCGGGCUCAACCUGGGAACUGCAUUGGUGACUGGGCAGGCUAGACGUAUGGCAGGAGGGGGGUAGAAUUCCACGUGUAGCAGUGAAAAUGCGUAGAGAUGUGGAGGAAUACCGAUGGCGAA
rnacentral:rRNA from 1 species